AGCAUUUCGGGCUGUGGACAAGGCCUUCCCCUCCAACCGCCAGGCCCCGAAACUGCAAUUCAAGGUCUCGCUCAUGAGACGUUCCAGAUGUCGUCGUCGGAAAGGACGCUUGGGCUGUGGGGCUUCCUGGGAGAGCCCGCCAGGACAGGACGCAGUGCGGAACCCAGAGGGAAGCCCUCCCCUCCCUGCUCGCCGCACACACGCCCUCUGAGCGCGCUGCUGGCACCGGCAGGAGGGCAGUGGGUUUUAAACACACGCAGUGCACAGAGGCCUCGGCAGUAACAGCCAGCCGGCUGAUAUUCCACCUUGGAGCCUCCCAGACCGCGUGUCCACCCCAGCCCUCCGCCUCCAGCAGGCCUGGGGCACAGCUCCCGGCCCCCGGCCCCCCGAACCUCUCCUGCUCCUGGCGGCUCGGGGAACUUUCUGGACACCUGAAUGGAGUGUGUCUACCUAAAUGCGUAGGAAGAACAUUGGACUUAAUGGUUCCGACGAAGCGAGAACUUCAGUCAAACUGGUUAUCUGACAUGAGGGGGUGACGCCUGGAUCCUGGCCCGAAUCCCAACUGACCUGCCUACACCUGGGGCCAGAGGGCAGACCCCCCCGCAACUGUUGUGCAAAGAGCCAACUGCUGCGAUUUUCUGAGAAAGGGCAACCUUUUGGGGGGAAAGCGAGAAAGAAGGUGUGCGCAGGCGCGAUGUCACAUGGGAAAGGCCCCCCGCGUGUGUUCACCGUUCAAGAAUAAACCAGUCAAAAUGCACCGAGACCAAAGCUGCUUCUCAUCACAACUUCGAAUGUCCACAAAGGACAAAAGGAGACAAAACCAAAAGCAUUCUGCGGCGAUCUGAGCGGCCCCGCCCAGUUUUCUCAUAACCGUACCUUUUCUCAGAGCGGGCGCCUGUGAGUAAGCCUCACUCUGAGGAAGCCCAUGUCUGCUGUGCUAGGUCUCAAUUCAAACAGAGCCGCAAACACGACCUUCAUGGCAAGCCACGGGGCGCACGAAGGCCACGCGAUUCCCCCCGGCGGGGCCUUCAACCGGCUGAGUGUCCCCGACCCUCUGACCCCACUGCCCAUUCCAGGGCCGGGGUCCCCGUGUGGGGUGCUUCCCUUCAACACCCACAAUCACCCAGGGCGGGACCCUUCAUCGUUGCUGACACGGCCUCCACAAACAUUUCCGAACGCGUCAAGUGCUGGCAGGGCCCUUAGGAAGGGAGCGAGAUGGAGCUCCGCAGAGUAUGUGACACAGCGCAACUCCGACACUAAAUAUCUGAAGCCAGAAACAUACGAAGACGGUCAAAAGUCAGGAAUGUGUUCGGAGGCGGGGCUGCAAAUGCCUGCCUUCUCGGAAUACCGCCCAGUCUUCACCUAGGCGUUCUGCAAGAGCCAGGGGCUUGCUCAGCAAUCGAUGGAUCUCCACAGAUCGCCCGAGGGAUGGAGCCAGGCCCAGAUUGGUGCUGACUGGGCGACUGAGAUGCCUCCGGGACAGGCGGCUGGCCAACCGCAGAGUGACUGUGAGCAGGAGUCUAGACCAGGGACCGGGCACCCGGUAGUCCUCCCCAGGGACCACCCUGAGGACCCCAGUCCCCGGUCCUGUCCCUCCCUGGCAUUCGGUGCUCUCCUAAGGCCAGAACUCACAGGUGGCGAGGCAGAGGCAGGAGGUGACUGAGGGAGGGCUCUGGGGCAAGAAGGCCUAAGUGUGAACCCUGGUUCCGCCUCUUCCCAGCUGCCGGGAACUCACUUUACUUCUCCGACCCCCGUUUCCCCAGACAUCACGAGAGCACCGCUUCCUGUGCCUGAUGCAAGGGUUAAAAGGACCGAGAGGACAGGCGAGUCCACCUCUCAGAACGAGGCCAGCCUUUUCUCUAAAACAAGGACAUUUCUUGAACAAACUGGCCGCACUUGUUUGACAUGGGUCUUUACCACUCUCUGUCAAAAGCCACAGCUUGUAUUUUUUAGACUUUGCCCCUGAAACGUUGGUCUUUUUCUGUGACUCUAACUGAACGACGCUGGCCCGCCUACUCCCGCUGCUGGUUUUUUGUUUUUUUCCAGGAGCAUCCUGUUUUAAGCGAAUACAGAACUAACAGGCAAAUUAAGUGGUAUUUAUAUUUUUUUUUCCAAAACAAAUCUCCCUGCACUAAUCGUCGUGUUCGAAGGGAUAACAGGAGGAGCUGGGGGUGUUUCUGGAGAAAAGGGGUGAGUUAAGGUGCCCGAGAGUUUAAUGUCACUCAGGACAGAGUCCGGGCAGCAGACUGGGAGGCGCACCCCCUCCCAGCCCCUGUGGCUGGGGAUUCAGGACCUGGAAGGACCAGACCCUGCGGGGGCUGGGGGGGGCGCAUCCCAGCAGGGAGUAGACAACCAUCCCUCUCGCAGGAGCACAGCUCUCAGUGAGCAGAGGAGCCCACGGUUAUGGAAAUCACCCCCAGCUCCUGUUCCCACAUUUUGCAAGAGGCUUUAAACUCCAGAUGUUCCCAAAGAGCCCUUUCCGUCGCCAGCUAAUCUUUCCGGAGUCUGUACCAAUCCUCUCCUCUGUGCCAACGAUUGCCCGCACCUGGCAGCGGAUCCCCGCACCUGGCAGCCGGGCAGAACCACCUGAGGAGCUCCGAGCAACCCCCGCCGCCCGUCUCACCCCGGACAGACGGAGGAAGCCGGCCUGUCUGGGGGUGGGAGGCAGGCUUCGGGUUUUAUCUGCAUUUGCUUUGGUCUAAAAUCCCCAGGGAUUCUCAUUUGCAACCAAGUGCUUUAGCCCAACUACGCGCUCGGCCCCAGCCCCCACUCCCCGCGCCAAUGACCUCAGCGGCAAGCAGGGACCUGACUCCGGCGACCGGCUGCGCGAUGUUGAAAUCGCGCAAUUAAACCUUCCGAG